UACGUAGGGGGCAAGCGUUGUCCGGAUUCAUUGGGCGUAAAGAGCGUGUAGGCGGCCAUGUAGGUCGGUUGUGAAAACUGGAGGCUCAACCUUCAGACGUCGACCGAAACCAUCUGGCUAGAGUCCGGGAGAGGAGAGUGGAAUUCCUGGUGUAGCGGUGAAAUGCGCAGAUAUCAGGAAGAACACCCGUGGCGAAAGCGGCUCUCUGGAACGGUACUGACGCUGAGACGCGAAAGCGUGGGGAGCGAACAGG
rnacentral:rRNA from 1 species